UAAAAUAAUUAAUUUAGAUACAGAAUUAGUGAUAAAUGUAAAGAAAACUUUAGUUUAGAUGCUAGAUUAUGUUCAGAACAUGGGAGAUUCUAAAAAUCCGGCCAAUAAAUCUUCCAAAUUUGCAAUUUAGUAUUUGCCUUCUUUGGGGUCACUGUUUUUCAGAGUCUCUAACAAUUUCAUACAACUCUCAUUUUUAGGUAAAUUUUAUUGAAUUUUUCUUGGCAGGAUCUUGAUCCUUGCCGCGUGUGAAGGUUUUAGAUUUAUGGUGGAAACCUCGUGCUGCGGAAUCAUCGACCAGCACUGAGUGUUCUGGGCAGGAGGGACUACCCAUGUGGUGAGGAAGUUGGUCUGGUGAUCAUUGGUUCCGGUUCCGCAGGCUGGCUGCUAUUAAAGCUGCCCAGUUGGGGAUGAAGACCGUUUGCAUUGAGAAGAACGACACAUGUGGUGGCACCUGCCUCAAUGUGUGAUAUAUCCCAUCGAAACCUCUCCUCAAUAAUACCCAUGGACAUUGCGCAGCUCUUCAAGAAGAAGUGCAUCUCAUUAAGGGCUACGGGAGUAUCACGUCAGCCAAGGAAGUCACCGCAAGGACGGAAUCUGGCUAAGACAUGACUGCAACGGGAGCAGAAGUCAUCCAAUUUCUCCGAUGGAUGGGUCGAAAGGUCAUAAAACGAAGGCUUGAAAAAUGCAUCUACAAGGGGUGUCCAUAUCAACGUACACGCGACAGUGACUUUUAUAAAUCCACGUGGGAAGCUAGCUGCCCCUCAGAGGGAUACCAUCGGAGGCACCAUAGGCACUCGCAAUUCUUCAGUAUUAAAAAAAUGACGUUCUUCAAGCUUCCGUCGUCGAAGAUCUUCGUGUUACAGCAUGCAUCAUGGGAUUCACAUGCAGAUAAGCCCAAAAUUAAUUUACCUUAUCAAAAUUGAUCCAAUGUGCCCUUUUCCAUACCCUAAUCAUACCCUUUUUGCAAAAUAUCCUAUUUUCCAUAAUAAUAAUUUUAUCCAGAAAAAUUGUGAAAAAUCAUCAUUUUUUGAGUAAAAAGUGAUGAUGAUGUGUAAAAAAUGAUAAUUUUUUUUAUAAAUGGUUAUGAUGAUUUAUAAAAAAAAUAUCAAAGACAAAAAAUAUAAUAUAAAUUGAAAAAUAUUUUAAAAGAAAAAAAAUAAGAUUUAAAAAAUGUUAAAAAAUAUAAAUAGGGUUUUUUCUAAUUUAAUUCUUAAUGAAAUUCAUCAUCAGGCGAAAAAAUGUUAUUUUUGUAAUUUUUCUUGUAAAAUUAUGUAAUAUUUUGUAUUUUAUUUCAUAUUAUUAAAUAAAAUAGAAAAAUAUAACGAAAACUCGAUUUUUUAAUUAAAAAUAGACCGAUGGUCUGCAUACGGCAUCGGUUAUGACGUCACAAUGGUAAGGUCGAUUUUCGAGCCGACUGGGGUCGAUUUCGAACCGAUUUAUUGACCGAUUUUGCACCAAAAAAAAGUCUCACGGGGAUAGGGCAUUCAAUGUUAAAUGUCGGCAGACGAAUCGAUCUAUGCGUCGGCAAAUCGUCUGUUGAUAUGCUCGAUUUUGUCGUUCGAUAUCGACUCGACAUCGACAGA